GGCUGUAGCUCAGUGGUAGAGUAUCUGCUUUGCAUGCAGAAGGUCCAUGGGUCAAUCCCUGGCAUCCCCA